GACGAACGCUGGCGGCGCGCCUAACACAUGCAAGUCGAACGAGCGAGAGAGAGCUUGCUUUCUUGAGCGAGUGGCGAACGGGUGAGUAACGCGUGAGGAACCUGCCUCAAAGGGGGGACAACAGUUGGAAACAAACGCUAAUACCGCAUAACGUGAGAAGAGGGCAUCCUCUUUUACCAAAGAUUUAUCGCUGAGAGAUGGGCUCGCGGCCGAUUAGGUAGUUGGUGAGACAACAGCCCACCAAGCCGACGAUCGGUAGCCGGACUGAGAGGUUGAUCGGCCACAUUGGGACUGAGACACGGCCCAG
rnacentral:rRNA from 1 species